GAUGAACGCUGGCGGCGUGCCUAAUACAUGCAAGUCGAGCGAACAGACGAGGAGCUUGCUCCUCUGACGUUAGCGGCGGACGGGGGAGUAACACGUGGAUAACCUACCUAUAAGACUGGGAUAACUUCGGGAAACCGGAGCUAAUACCGGAUAAUAUAUUGAACCGCAUGGUUCAAUAGUGAAAGACGGUUUUGCUGUCACUUAUAGAUGGAUCCGCGCCGCAUUAGCUAGUUGGUAAGGUAACGGCUUACCAAGGCAACGAUGCGUAGCCGACCUGAGAGGGUGAUCGGCCACACUGGAACUGAGACACGGUCCAGACUCCUACGGGAGGCAGCAGUAGGGAAUCUUCCGCAAUGGGCGAAAGCCUGACGGAGCAACGCCGCGUGAGUGAUGAAGGUCUUCGGAUCGUAAAACUCUGUUAUUAGGGAAGAACAAAUGUGUAAGUAACUGUGCACGUCUUGACGGUACCUAAUCAGAAAGCCACGGCUAACUACGUG
rnacentral:rRNA from 1 species